rnacentral:rRNA from 1 species
GAUGAACGCUAGCUACAGGCUUAACACAUGCAAGUCGAGGGACCGGCGCACGGGUGAGUAACACGUAUCCACCCUGCCCUUUACUCGGUGAUAGCCUUUCGAAAGAAAGAUUAAUACCCGAUGUAAAGGAUUGGGAUGCGUUCCAUUAGGUUGUUGGUGAGGUAACUGCUCACCAAGCCUUCGAUGGAUAGGGGAUCUGAGAGGAAGGUCCCCCACAUUGGAACUGAGACACGGUCCAAACUCCUAAGGGAGGCAGCAGUGAGGAAUACUGGUCAAUGGGCGUUAGCCUGAACCAGCCAAGUAGCGUGAAGGAUGAAGGCUUAUGGGUCGUAAACUUCUUUUAUAUAAGAAUAUGUAUUAUAUGAAUAAGGAUCGGCUAACUCCGUGCCAGCAGCCGCGGUAAUUC